GACGAACGUUGGCGGCGUGCUUAAUACAUGCAAGUCAACUGAAGCAGAGGUAGUAAUAUCUCUGUGGAGGUGGCGCACGGGUGAGUAACACGUAGGUAAUCUGCCUUCAGGUCUGACAUAACCCCGAGAAAUCGGGGCGUAAUAGCAGAUGAUGCAGCGGCUUGACAUCAAGACAGUUGUUAAAGCUUCGGCGCCUGAAGAUGAGCCUGCGCUGAUUAGCUAGUUGGCGGAGUAACAGCCCACCAAGGCUACGAUCAGUAGCUGGUCUGAGAGGAUGA
rnacentral:rRNA from 1 species